AUGUCUGUCGACGUGGGUGACAUGCUGAUGAUGGAUAGGUUCCGUCAGUGGCAGGCCACGCACAACAGGUCGUACCUGAUCAUGGAGGAGAGGCUGCGGCGCUUCCAGAUGUACCGCGACAAUGUGGAGUACAUCGACCCCACCAACCGGCGCGGCGACCUCACCUACGAGCUCGGCGAGAACGAGUUCGCCGACCUCACCCAGGAGGAGUUCCUGGCGAGGUACGCUUCGUCCUACGAUGGCGCCAGUGAUGAUACGGGCAUCACGAUGCCCACAGGCGGUGGCGACGCCGAUUUGUGGUCGUCUCGCGGCGAGGAUAACUCCUUGGAGGCUCCGCCUCCGCCCAGCAUGGACUGGAGGGCCAAAGGCGCCGUCAUGCCCAAGUCCCAAAGCUCAUCAUGCUCCAGUUGCUGGGCGUUCGUGACAGUUGCAACGAUUGAGACCCUGAACUGGAUCAGGACAGGGAAGCUGGUGUCGCUCUCGGAGCAGCAGAUGGUGGACUGCGACCAGUACAACGGCGGGUCCAACCGCGACGGCGGCCUUACCACGGAGGCGGAGUACCCAUACACGGCGGUGAGGGGCGCCUGCAACCGCGCCAAGUCCGCCCAUCACGUCGUCCAGAUCAAUGGCAGCGGCGUGAUCCCGGCCAGGAACGAGCCCGAAAUGUAG
rnacentral:rRNA from 1 species